GAUGAACGCUGGCGGCGUGCCUAAUACAUGCAAGUCGAGCGAAUGGAUUAAGAGCUUGCUCUUAUGAAGUUAGCGGCGGACGGGUGAGUAACACGUGGGUAACCUGCCCAUAAGACUGGGAUAACUCCGGGAAACCGGGGCUAAUACCGGAUAACAUUUUGAACCGCAUGGUUCGAAAUUGAAAGGCGGAUUCGGCUGUCACUUAUGUAUGACCCGCGUCGCAUUAGCUAGUUGGGGAGGUAACGGCUCACCAAGGCAACGAUGCGUAGCCGACCUGAGAGGGCGAUCGGCCACACUGGGACUGAGACACGGCCCAGACUCCUACGGGAGGCAGCAGUAGGGAAUCUUCCGCAAUGGACGAAAGUCUGACGGAGCAACGCCGCGUGAGUGAUGAAGGCUUUCGGGUCGUAAAACUCUGUUGUUAGGGAAGAACAAGUGCUAGUUGAAUAAGCUGGCACCUUGACGGUACCUAACCAGAAAGCCACGGCUAACUACGUGCCAGCCGCCGCGGUAA
rnacentral:rRNA from 1 species